GGUAAAAUUUUCUCUUCACUUUCGAUAAUUCGUCACCUCAACGGUAUGCGCAACAUUUCGCGAAUAAUAUCGGUCGCGUUGCAACGAAUUUGGCGUGUUUCAAAGUCCCCGAAUCAGAUUCCGAGAUUGAGUCGCGGAUUCAAAAUUCCAUUUGUUUGUCCUCGUGCGUGCGUGGAAUUGAAGUAAACAAAAUUGAUGCGAAUCUUACGUCAUGUUUUAAUCUUCUUCUUCAGUCACGCUCCGUUGUUGCCGUCCGUCGGUUCCGUCACGUUGUCGAAUUGUUGUGGUGUGCGGUGAAGACGGUGAUGAAGACGUUGAUGCGUCGCGAUUGAGAAAUCCCUGGUCGAGAAGUUGGUUUCCGCGUGAAGUUGGAAAUGAUUAAUGAUGUAUAUGGUUCACCCUUGACUAUACUGAUGUGUAUGCAUUGCCAGGAAUGAUAGGCCACAAGCCAUUUCAAAUUAUACGUAAUCGGAAAAACCAAGGAAGUGGCAGUUGGAGGGAGAUUAGAGUUCUGUUACGAUUAUUGGUUAUGAGAUUGAAUUGUAAUUUUGACAUUGUUUGGAGUUGGAAUUCUGAAAUUAUGUCUGUAAUUUUAAAUGGUAAUUGUGAUAUGGAAUUGAAAGGGUUGUAAUGUAUGAAACUGUUUGUUGUUUGAAUGAAAGAAAAUUGUUUGGUAUUA